rnacentral:rRNA from 1 species
UACAGAGGGUGCGAGCGUUGUCCGGAAUCACUGGGCGUAAAGGGCGCGUAGGCGGCUCGGUCAGCGUGCGGUGAAAGCCCGGGGCUCAACCCCGGGUCGGCCGUGCGAACUGCCGAGCUGGAGCACUGUAGAGGCAGGUGGAAUUGCCGGGUGUAGCGGUGGGAAUGCGUAGAGAUCCGGGAAGAACACCGGGUGGCGAAGGCGGCCUGCUGGGCAGUUGCUGACG